UAUUUUUGAGACAGGGAGAGACAGAGCAUGAACGGGGGAGGGUCGGAGAGAGGGAGACACAGAAUCUGAAACAGGCUCCAGGCUCUGAGCUGUCAGCACAGAGCCCCACGCGGGGCUCGAACUCACGGACCGCGAGAUCAUGACCUGAGCCAACCAGGGCGCUCAACCGACCGAGCCACCCAGGCGCCCCAAGCGUAUCAUUCCUAAUGAAGGGUAAUUAUACAUUUUCAGGAUACUUUGGAAUUCCAGACAGUGGACCCAAGCAUGGAAACAAGCAUGUAAGAUCCAGCAAUACAUGGAAAUUGGAACAAGCAAAUAGAUUAUACUGACAAGUGGCUGAGUCCUCUCACAACUGUAUAUCCUUGAGAAGUAGUUCUAGCACAGUAGGAAAAUUAGUGAAAGCAAUAGAGGAUUCUGGAAUUGAAAGGAUUGAUGUUAUGUGCUUGUACCAAGCGGGGAUCUAGUCUUCCUAUAUAUGAACAUGGAUCAUUGAAGUACCAUGCGAUGCUUUGCCCUGAAAAGCCAGAGAAGAAUGGGCCCCAAGAACUGGUGAGAGUAAGCAGCAAGAAUGUGGAGGAACGUGGAGCUCUUUAACCUGAGAAAAUAUUGUGGAGAAUUGGCUUUCCUGAGUUUCUCAUUUUCUUCAUUGAAGAUAUUUAUGCAUAACCAAUACAAUAAUUAAUGAGCAUUGUAGCAGAUGAUGGACUUAGAGUUUACUACAUUCUGUUUAUUACAUUGCGGCCAAUAAACCACAUCCUUUGUAAUAAAAACUAUUAUAGCGCUGGCUUCUGAUAUGGCUUACAUUGAUAAGUAAUUUCAUCGCUCAUCAUGUUCUUCAUUUUGGUGUAAAAAUUUAGAGUGUUUACUCUGGAGGCAGAUAGACAAGUGUCCUUUUGACCUUGGUAGUUACUAGUUACCAGUUAUAUGACCAGAUCAAUUGUACUUAACUUCUCUAAACUUUAGUUUCAUGAAAAAAUGGAAAUGA